rnacentral:rRNA from 1 species
AGCGGCGGACGGGUGAGUAACGCGUGGGUAACCUGCCUCAUACAGGGGGAUAACAGUUGGAAACGGCUGCUAAUACCGCAUAAGCGCACAGUACCGCAUGGUACCGUGCGAAAAACUCCGGUGGUAUGAGAUGGACCCGCGUCUGAUUAGCUAGUUGGUGGGGUAACGGCCUACCAAGGCGACGAUCAGUAGCCGACCUGAGAGGGUGACCGGCCACAUUGGGACUGAGACACGGCCCAA